GGGAGAGGUGUGGGGAGCUCUGCUUCAGCUGUGGGGCCUCAGGAGGCAGGACUCAGGGAUGACCUCCACCAUGGCCUGGGCCCCUCUCCUCCUCACCCUCCUGGCUCACUGCACAGGAUCCUGGGCCCAGUCUGUGGUGACUCAGCCACCCUCAGUGUCGGGGUCCCCGGGCGAGAGGGUCACCAUCUCCUGCACUGGAAGCAGCACCAACGUUGGGAGUCACGUUGUGUCCUGGUACCAACAGCUCCCAGGAAAGACCCCCAAAUACAUCAUCUGUAAGGAUAGCAGUCGAUUCUCAGGGGUCCCUGAUCGAUUCUCUGGCUCCAAGUCUGGCACCUCUGCCUUCCUGACCGUCGCGGGGCUGCAGGCUGAGGACGAGGCCGACUAUUACUGCUUAGCAUGGGACAAGACUCUUGAUGGUUACACAGUGCUGAAGGCCUGUGAGGAAUCUGGGGUGUGA